rnacentral:lncRNA from 1 species
CCUCCCCAACCUAUAGCCGGAUUUCUAACUACACACUCAUACUUCACGGGGGUCCUAUUAGCCCCCUGAAUUAUUUUAAAAUGAAAUAAGUAGCCCCUUAAAACGUCAUACCCAGAUAUGUGUCUUGUGGUGAAACACACGCGCUUGACACGUGUUUUCACCUGUAGAUCUUUUUUUAAAAGACAUUUUUUUUCUCUUUCUUCUUC